GGCCGCCGGGGGGCUUCUGCCCUCUGGCCCGCGCCCGCCGAAGACACCAUUGAACACUGUCUGAAGAUUGCAGUCUGAGCAAUUAGCUAAAUAAGUUAAAACUUUCAACAACGGAUCUCUUGGUUCCGGCAUCGAUGAAGAACGCAGCGAAAUGCGAUACGUAAUGUGAAUUGCAGAAUUCAGUGAAUCAUCGAGUCUUUGAACGCACAUUGCGCCCCUUGGUAUUCCGGGGGGCAUGCCUGUCCGAGCGUCAUUGCUGCCCUCAAGCACGGCUUGUGUGUUGGGCCCCGUCCUCCUUCCCGGGGGACGGGCCCGAAAGGCAGCGGCGGCACCGCGUCCGGUCCUCGAGCGUAUGGGGCUUUGUCACCCGCUCUUGUAGGCCCGGCCGGCGCUUGCCGACAACCAUCAAUCUUUUUUCAGGUUGACCUCGGAUCAGGUAGGGAUACCCGCUGAACUUAAGCAUAUCAAUAAGCGGAGG
rnacentral:misc_RNA from 1 species